GAAAAAGUGAAAUGGGUCAUAUAGGAAGGAUCCAAAGAAAUCCACGAAAGGGAGAGACCUCCCUGAGAAAACCAAUUCCAUUUAAGACAGUCUGUUCAGUUUUGCAUGCCUGAAACUAUAGAAAAUAGAUUUUCUUGUCCUUAGUUUUUGAAGGAGAUCAUACAUAUUAGCGGCUGUGUUUGAGACCAGACUGGCCAACAUGGUGAAACUGCGUCUAUACUAAAAAUGCAAAAAUUAGCUGGGUGUUGUGGCAUGUACCUGUAAUCUCAGCUAAUCAGGAGGCUGAGGCAGGAGAAUCGCUGGAACCUGGAAGGCAGAGAUUGCAGUGAGCUGAGAUCGUGCCACUGCACUCCAGCCUUGGUGACAGAGCGAGACUCUGUCUCAAAAAAAAAAAGUAACAGUUAAUUAGGUGGCUCAUGAAAGCCGGAGAUGGAUCCUGGAUCCUUUACACAUUUUCGAUGCUUGCUAAGUAAACAUUAAUUGUAAAAAUGAAUGGUG
rnacentral:lncRNA from 1 species